rnacentral:lncRNA from 1 species
GGCAAUCCCCUCAGGUCUUCCUUCGCUGUGUGGAAGCUUUGUUCUUUCGCUCUUUGCAGGAACUCUUGCUGCUGCUCGCUCUUUGGGUCCACGCUGCCUUUAGGAGCUGUAACACUCACGGCGAAGGUCCGCAGCUUCACUCCUGAGCCAGCGAGACCACGAGCCCACCGGGAGGAAAGAACAACUCCAGACGCGCCGCCUUAAGAGCUGUAACACUCACCGUGAAGGUCCGCAGCUUCACUCCUGAGCCGGCGAGACCACGAACCCACCAGAAGGAAGAAACUCCAAAGACGUUCAAACAUCAGAAGGAACAAACUCCGGACACGCCACCUUUAAGAACUGUAACACUCACCGCGAGGGUCCAUGGCUUCAUUCUUGAAGUCAGUGAGAUCAAGAACACACCAAUUCUGGACCCAGUAUCUCCCCAUACCCUAACUCCUUUCCCAAAGUAGGCAGAAAAACAGCCCUGUUGUUCCGGUGGAAGCCUUAGCUCUGUAUUCCUUUUAGACUGUAUUUCAAAACGCAUUAUUAGAGCCCCAAAGUCACCUGGUGAAAGAAUGUGAGAGCUGGAAGUGGCCUCAAAAUCCAGUUGAACCCUCUUAUUUCAUAUGUUUGGAAACUGAGCACUAGAAAAGCACAGAAAGCCAAGUUGCUGGAGAAAAUAUGCAGCAGUGUAAGCCUGAAACAUCUUACAGAAGAGUAUAGUUUUGGAAUGACCACUAUAUAUGACCUGAAGAACAGAAGAAUAAACUGUUGAAGUUCUGUGCUGAAAGUGAUGUAUGGAGACAUUUUGUACCAGUGGCUCAUGUUCACUGCAGGGAAGCCAGACUAGAUGACAACUGCAAGCUUUUAUUAUUACUGGACAACCAUUCUGUUCAUCCUUCAGCUGAAAUUCUCAUCAAAAUAAUGUUAAUGCCAUGUACUUUCACUCAAAUGUGAUUUCAUUAAUUCAGCCAUGUGACCAAGUUCUCUUAGAUCAAUGAAGUAAAUAUAAAAACACUUUCCUCAACGGUAGGCUAACAGCAGUGAACAGAGAAACAUGAGUGUGAAAGGUUUUCAAAAGGAGUUUGACGUGAAGGAUGCUUUAUAUGCUGUUGUCAAUGCCUGGAACACAGUGAUUAAAGACACAGUUGGACAUGCCUGGCACAAAUUCUGGCCUGGAACCAUAUUCAGUGAUGAUGACCAAGAUGGUAACUUUGAAGGAUUUCAUAUGUCAAGUGAGAAAAAAAAUGAUGUAUGACUUCCUUGCAUACGCAAAAAAAUAUACCUUCAGAUUUCAUCGGUAAACUGGGAGAAGCAAAUAUUGAGGAAGUGUUUCAUAUCAACAAUGAAGCUACAGUUGUUCAUUGACCAAUGGUGAAAGAGCUGAAAUGAUUCUGAAUCAAGGAGAUCGUGGUAAAUAGUGAUGAUAAAGUCUACAUUGUCAUCAGAAAAAGUGCCUGUAGAUGACAUGGUGAAAAUGUGUGAUGGGGCUUUUGAAGGACUAGGGCAGAAUGCAUUCAUAACAAAACAAGAAAUCGUGUCAGUGUAUAAAAUCUAAGAAAAGACUUCUAAGAUAAAGCCUUGUUAAUGAGGCAGAUGACUUUGGAGGAAAUAGUUUAAAAAAACCAUUCACUGGAAUGCCUUCUCAUCCCUAGGUAUUUAUUUCCUGAUCCCUCAACUGUUUCUGAUGUUUUUUUCUCACCUGAAAAAAUAAAAUACAAUGUACAAUAACCUUUUAUUCAAAACACACCAUCAUAGGUGGAGACUGAAAGCCUGUCAUUGUUGUUAGCAUUGUUUAACAGCUCAUACAGGUAUUUUGGUGAUGCUACUAGGCUGCUUAGUUACCCUGAACACAUUAUUUUUUCACUGUAUUAAUGGCAUGUCUUACUUUUUGCUGUUAAGUACUUAUGUGUGAAAAAGUAUGAAAAAUGAUCGCUU